rnacentral:rRNA from 1 species
UACGUAGGGGGCAAGCGUUGUCCGGAUUUAUUGGGCGUAAAGAGCGUGUAGGCGGCCUGGUAGGUCUGCUGUGAAAACUCGAGGCUCAACCUCGAGAUGUCGGCGGAAACCAUCUGGCUAGAGUCCGGAAGAGGAGAGUGGAAUUCCUGGUAUAGCGGUGAAAUGCGCAGAUAUCAGGAAGAACACCUAUGGCGAAGGCAGCUCUCUGGGACGGUACUGACGCUGAGACGCGAAAGCGUGGGGAGCGAACAGG